rnacentral:rRNA from 1 species
GACGAACGCUGGCGGCGUGCCUAAUACAUGCAAGUCGAGCGGACAGAAGGGAGCUUGCUCCCGGAAGUUAGCGGCGGACGGGUGAGUAACACGUGGGCAACCUACCCUGUAGAUCGGGAUAACAUCGAGAAAUCGGUGCUAAUACCGGAUAAUCAUUUGAAGUGCAUGCUUCGAAUGUAAAAGAUGGCUCCGGCUAUCACUACGGGAUGGGCCCGCGGCGCAUUAGCUGGUUGGUAAGGUAAUGGCUUACCAAGGCAACGAUGCGUAGCCGACCUGAGAGGGUGAUCGGCCACACUGGGACUGAGACACGGCCCAGACUCCUACGGGAGGCGGCAGUAGGGAAUCUUCCGCAAUGGACGAAAGUCUGACGGAGCAACGCCGCGUGAGUGAUGAAGGUUUUCGGAUCGUAAAGCUCUGUUGUUAGGGAAGAACAAGUGCCGUUUGAAUAAGGAGGCACCUUGACGGUACCUAACCAGAAAGCCUCGGCUAACUACGUGCCAGCCGCCGCGGUAACAC